UUUUACCGAGAGAACGAUGUAUAUUGAGCGGAUAAUUGGAAAUUUUACUGUUGUUUAAUGCUUCGAUCUUCAUUCAGGGGAUGUUUUGGGUGAUUUUCCGACAUCCCUGACCUUUUUCCUGUGACUCUCCAGAUUCUAGGGUUUCUGGUGGUUGAACCUAGGGUUUUACUACUAUCCGAUGGCUCGAUCCUCACUCGGUAGAUGUUUUGGGUGAUUUUCCGACAUCCCUGACCCUAUUACGGUAAGUUUCCAGACCAUACGGUUCCCGGUGGUUGGACCUAGGGUUUUAUCUGGCGAUUGAAGGCCGUUCUCCUCCGGUCGCGAAGAAGGAGGGUAACUCUAUCCCUGUUAUAAGUGUUGUAUAUUUUGCAUGUGGGUUCUGAUUCAACUUUAGCCUCUUUCCUGAGACUGUUUUUUAUUUCAACUGGUUUUUUAUUCAUGACUUCUAAUAUGAAUGUCAAUACCUCCUCAGUGGACUCUACCAGUUUAGCCUCUUUGCUGAGACUGUUUUUGAUUUCAAACUGGUUUUUCUUCAUGACUUCUAAUAUGAAUGUCAAUACCUCCUCAGUGGACUUUACCAGCCCCCUUUUUGUUUACUCCUCUGACGUUCUUGGAGUUUCUCUUGUGUUCACUCCCUUCUCGGGCAGUGGUUAUGGAGGUUGGAGGAGGAAAAUGAUUGUCGCGUUAUCUGCUAAGAACAAAAUUAGUUUUGUUGAUAGCACAUGUCCCCGGCCAUGUGACUGAGCAAAGACUAUGGGACAGAUGCAAUAAUAUGGUAAUUUCCUGGUUAACUGCCUCCCUGUCCCCUCAAAUUGCUGAAAGUGUGCAGUAUUCUGAUAAUGCACAAAGUAUAUGGUCCCAGCUUCAGGCCAUAUAUGGCACUGCUAACAGGACCAAAAAUUUUGAACUAAAAAGAGAGCUUUCUCACACUUGUCAAGGGUCCCUAGAUGUAGCUUCGUAUUUUAACAAACUUAAAGGUCUGUGGGAUGAAUUAGAAAUAAUGUGUACAAAUUAUGGGCAAAGAUGUGUAUGUGCUGCCAAAAAUGGUAUAAUACAUGAAGAUGAUGAAAACAAUGUGUUUCAGUUUCUAAUGGGCCUUAAUGAAGCAUACAUGGGGGUAAGGAGUAACCUAUUGAUGAUGCAGCCACCUCCAACCCUUGACAGUGUAAUGAAGCAUACAUGGGGGUAAGGAGUAACCUACUGAUGAUGCAGCCUCCUCCUAUCCUUGACAGUGUCUAUAAUAUGGUCCUCAAUGAUGAGAAACAGAGACAAGUCCAGUCCCUUUCUCAGUUUAAUCCUGACUCUAUGUCUUUCAAUGUCCACACAAAUAGACAUUCAGUUGGAUUCAAUAAGGUCACAGUGCCUAAUCCUUCUCCUUCUUCAGAAAAAGAGUCAAUUUUGACCAAGCUAGAGGAUCUUUACUCUGUAGAUACUGUAAAAAAUCUGGGCACUUAAUUGAUAAAUGUUUCAAGAUUCAUGGGUAUCCACAAAGUACAACAUUUAACAAGGGGAGGAGACCUGCUGCUNNNNNNNNNNNNNNNNNNNNNNNNNNNNNNNNNNNNCAAAGUACAACAUUUAACAAGGGGAGGAGACCUGUUGCUGCUCAUCUAACUGCUGGUGUGGAUUUCCCUUCUUCUGAAGGACAUGUGUCUGUUCCCCAAAGAAAUCCUCCUGAAAGCCAUCACUCUGUUACAAACAUAGAUGCCAGAGUUCUGUGAUACCAGGAUUGAGCAGACAACAGUAUGACCAAUUGAUGAGCUUGUUACAACAGACCCAGUUAGGGGAUUCCACUGCUAAGACUCCUCCUCCCAUGUAUGCUGCUAAUUUUGCUAGUACAAUGCUAACUGAGAGCCCUAUUUUUGAUUCCAAACUUUGCAUGCUUACUCAUAUUAACUCUGCCACCUGGAUAAUAGACUCAGGGACAUCUAAUAAUAUGACAUAUGAUAAAAAUAUACUCUUCAACAUAACACCUUUAACUGUACCCUACCUUGUAACUCUUCCUAAUGGAUAUAAAGUGAAAGUGACAUGCACAUGAUCCUUUACAUUAAAUCCAUCCAUCACACUUCAAAAUGUCUUGUUAGUUCCUUCUUUUAAACACAACUUGAUUUCUGUCCACAAGUUGGUGAAACACUUGCAUUGCAUAGUUUUGUUCACUGUAACUUGCUGCUUCCUCCACAUGAUUCAUGACCCUUCUCUGAGGAAGCCUCUGGAUCUUGGUAGAGAGGAGGCUGGUCUAUACAAGCUUGCAUGGGCUCCAGCUUCCCCUUCUUCCUCUACUGGUUGUUCAUCUGCUUUUGUAUACUCUAAAUCUGACUCUUGUAAUCAUGACAAUUAUUCUUUUACUGGUUUCCAUAAAGAUGUUGCUUUACCUUCCAAUGUAAAUAAUUCCAUCUGUAAUAAUGUUGGUGCAACUGACAUGAAUUACAUUUGGUAUUUGAGACUUGCUCAUACUUCAUUUUCAAACAUGAAACACAUUUCUGGAUUGUCUUUUCCUUUUGCUUCUAAGCAGUCUUUCCCAUGUUCUAUCUUUCCUAUGGCUAAACAGACUAGACUUCCCUUUCCUGAUAGAACAAUAACUACUUCUAGACCUUUUCAAUUGAUUCAUGUGGACACUUGGGGCCCCUAUCACACUCCUACUUCUUCUGGUUCUAGAUAUUUCUUACAAUAGUUGAUGAUUUCUCUAUGGCUACCUGGACACACUUACUGGGGUCUAAAAGCGAUGCCUUCUGCUUGCUUAAAUCCUUUCUGUGUAUGGUUAAAACCAGUUUAAUGCUGUGGUUCAAAUUGUUAGAAGUGAUAAUGCUUUGGAAUUGGGGUCUAGCAUUGACCUGUGUAUGGUUAAAACCCAGUUUAAUGUUAUGGUUCAAAUUGUUCGAAGUGAUAAUGCGUUGGAACUGGGGUCCAGCAUUGAGGGUACUUCUUUCUUUAGUAACCAAGGGAUUAUUCACCAAACAACCUGUCC
rnacentral:lncRNA from 1 species